GUGCGCGAAUGGCCAAACGGUAAGGUGAUGGGCCAGUAAUCAAUCGACAGGCAGUGGACAAGUUCAACCCCGGCUGAGGCAAAUAGAAUUGCUACAACGAAGGAUCACCGGAAGACGGUCUGGAGCAAGACCGGAGCUCGGAGGAGCAUUGGGAAAGAAAAAGGGGG
ensembl:ncRNA K02E11.15 ncRNA